rnacentral:rRNA from 1 species
UCCGUAGGCAGCAAGCGUUGUUCGGAAUUACUGGGCGUAAAGAGUGUGUAGGCGGUGUUCUAAGUCUGGUGUGAAAUCUCCCGGCUUAACUGGGAGGGUGCGGCGAAAACUGGAAUGCUAGAGGAUGGGAGAGGUAAGCGGAAUUCCUGGUGUAGCGGUGAAAUGCGUAGAUAUCGUAUGGAACGCCAGUGGUGAAAACAACUUGCUGGGGGUAUGCUGACGCUGAGACACGAAAGCCAGGGGAGCAAACGGG